AACUUUCAACAACGGAUCUCUUGGUUCUGGCAUCGAUGAAGAACGCAGCGAAAUGCGAUAAGUAAUGUGAAUUGCAGAAUUCAGUGAAUCAUCGAAUCUUUGAACGCACAUUGCGCCCCGUGGUAUU
rnacentral:rRNA from 1 species